rnacentral:rRNA from 1 species
AUGUGGAACCUGAAUAUCUCUAUGAAGCCAAGCACCUUCCACAUCUGCUUGGAAAAAGCUCUGGUUAUCUUUGAUUGGAGGUUGCUACGUAUGGUUGAUGGAUUGAACUUCAAGGAAUUUGUUUCUUUUCUCUCUACCUUCAGCGCAAGGGCCAGCCUUCAGCAAAAGAUUGAGUUGAUAUUUAAGGUGUAUGACAUUGAUGGCAAGGGGAAAGUAUCCUUCAAGGACCUGGUAGAGAUUUUACGAGACCUAACAGGCUCAUCCAUGUUAGAGAAACAAAGAGAGGUUCUGAUUUGA